AGAGUUUGAUCCUGGCUCAGGAUGAACGCUAGCUACAGGCUUAACACAUGCAAGUCGAGGGGCAGCAUGGUCUUAGCUUGCUAAGGCCGAUGGCGACCGGCGCACGGGUGAGUAACACGUAUCCAACCUGCCGUCUACUCUUGGACAGCCUUCUGAAAGGAAGAUUAAUACAAGAUGGCAUCAUGAGUCCGCAUGUUCACAUGAUUAAAGGUAUUCCGGUAGACGAUGGGGAUGCGUUCCAUUAGAUAGUAGGCGGGGUAACGGCCCACCUAGUCUUCGAUGGAUAGGGGUUCUGAGAGGAAGGUCCCCCACAUUGGAACUGAGACACGGUCCAAACUCCUACGGGAGGCAGCAGUGAGGAAUAUUGGUCAAUGGGCGAGAGCUUGAACCAGCCAAGUAGCGUGAAGGAUGACUGCCCUAUGGGUUGUAAACUUCUUUUAUAAAGGAAUAAAGUCGGGUAUGGAUACCCGUUUGCAUGUACUUUAUGAAUAAGGAUCGGCUAACUCCGUGCCAGCAGCCGCGGUAAUACGGAGGAUCCGAGCGUUAUCCGGAUUUAUUGGGUUUAAAGGGAGCGUAGAUGGAUGUUUAAGUCAGUUGUGAAGUUUGCGGCUCAACCGUAAAAUUGCAGUUGAUACUGGAUAUCUUGAGUGCAGUUGAGGCAGGCGGAAUUCGUGGUGUAGC
rnacentral:rRNA from 1 species